AAAGUACGAGUGCGAAGGAGAGAGAAAUGCAAAAGGGGACGUCCCAACGGCUGGAACUGGGACGGAGCGACGGGGCUCAGGGAAGGCCCGAGUACGGGCCACAGGCGCGGAGUGGGGCGAGCCGACACGCCCUGCGCGGUGGGAGUAUCAGACGAAGGAGGACCGAGUGGUCAGAGGGGCUGAGCUCUUUGUUUGGGUUCCGCGGAAGGCAGAAUGGGCUGAACUGGAACUGACCUAAAUGUCCACCAAAGGAGUGGUCCGGCAUGCUCUGCCCACCGCACGCCGAGGUGCCCUGACCAUGAGCCUCAACUCCUCCCUCGGCCACAGGAAGGAGCUGAGCAACCUCACGGACCAGGAGGGUGGUGAAGGGGGCGCCGUCAUCACCGACUUCAUCACCAUCAUUAUCAUCACCAUUUUUGUCUGCCUGGGCAACCUGGUCAUCGUGGUCACCUUGUACAAGAAGUCCUACCUCCUCACCCUCAGCAACAAGUUCGUCUUCAGCCUCACGCUCUCCAACUUCCUGCUGUCCGUGCUGGUGCUGCCUUUUGUGGCGACCAGCUCCAUUCGGAGGGAAUGGAUCUUUGGCGUGGUCUGGUGCAACUUCUCGGCCCUUCUGUACCUGCUGAUCAGCUCGGCCAGCAUGCUCACACUCGGGGUCAUCGCUGUGGACCGCUACUAUGCUGUCCUGUACCCCAUGCUGUACCCCAUGAAGAUCACGGGGAACCGAGCUGUGAUGGCGCUUGUCUACAUCUGGCUCCAUUCCCUCAUCGGCUGCCUGCCCCCUCUGUUCGGUUGGUCAUCGGUGGAGUUUGACAAGUUCAAGUGGAUGUGUGUGGCGGCGUGGCACCGGGAGCCUGGCUACACGGCCUUCUGGCAGAUCUGGUGCGCCCUGUUCCCCUUUCUGGUCAUGCUGGUGUGCUACGGCUUCAUAUUCCGCGUGGCCAGGGUCAAGGCUCGCAAGGUGCACUGCGGCGCGGUGGUCAUCGUGGAGGAGGACGCCCAGAGGGGUGGGAGGAAGAACUCCAGCACCUCCACCUCCUCCUCCGGCAGCAGGAGGAAUGCCUUUCAGGGCGUGGUCUAUUCGGCCAACCAGUGCAAAGCCCUCAUCACCAUCCUGGUGGUCCUCGGGGCCUUCAUGGUCACCUGGGGCCCCUACAUGCUUGUCAUCACCUCCGAGGCCCUUUGGGGGAAGAACUAUGUCUCCCCGACCCUGGAGACCUGGGCCACGUGGCUGUCCUUUACCAGCGCCAUCUGCCACCCCCUGAUCUAUGGGCUCUGGAACAAGACAGUUCGCAAGGAGCUGCUGGGCCUGUGCUUUGGGGAUCGGUACCACCGGGAGCCAUUCGUGCCGCGGCAGAGGGCUUCUAGGCUCUUCAGCAUUUCCAAUAGGAUCACAGACCUGGGCCUGUCCCCCCACCUCACGGCCCUCAUGGCAGGCGGACAGCCCCUGGGGAACAGCAGCAGCACGGGGGACACUGGCUUCAGCUGCUCCCAGGACUCAGGAACAGACGUGAUGCUGCUCGAGGACUACACGUCUGAUGACAGCCCUCCCUCCCACUGUACUUGCCCCCCCAAGAGAAGGAGCUCCGUGACCUUUGAGGAUCAAGUGGAACAAAUCAAAGAUGCCGCCAGGAACCCUGUUCUUCACGUGAAAGCCGAAGUGCAUGAGUCCUUGGACAGUUACGCGGCCAGCUUGGCCAAAGUCAUAGAGGCGGAAGCCAAGAUCAAGCUGUUUGGGGAGGAGGCGUUGCCUGGGGUCCUGGCCGCAGCACGGACGGUCCCAGGGGCUGGCUUCGGGGGCCGCCGAGGCAGCAGGACUCUUGCGAGUCAGAGGCUGCAGCUGCAGAGCAUCGAGGAAGGGGACAUUUUAGCUGCAGAACCGCGAUGAGGGCCUCAGGGUGGACUGGCCCGCAGAGGGGCGCCCCGGGGAGGGACAUCUGGGGUGCAACCACUCGGAAAAACGCUGACCACGGGGUCUUGUGAGAGCAUCCACCGGCUCCGGGUGGGCCCUGGCGAUGGGACCAGAGAUGUCUGAGGCUCCAGGGCACGCUGACGGAGGUGUGGCCAUGACUUUUGGGGGGGGGCAUGGAAGGGGGACUAGGGACCGUGGCUUGGAAGGAAACGGCCGCGUGGGUUACUUCCUCUUCUCCGGGACGUCCAGGGGCAGCCGGGCACUGUCCCAGAGAUCUCGGGAGGUAAGCCCUUUGCAGUGCUCCUGGGAGGAUGACACUUCUUGCCAGAGCAGGACCGUCCCCUGCGCGUCCCCGUGGUUGGUGCGGCCACACUGAAUGCUCCCCGGAGGAGAACCCAGGAGCAGAGCCUUUCGCAGGGGCUUCCACGCCUCCGUCCUGGUGGGGACCUUGCAGUCAGUGGGGGCGACCUGCUGGUGCUCGGGCGACCAGGCCCUGGGGCUGCUGUCGCUGGGGAUGGGGCCGCCCUGCCCACCUCCCUAUUGACUGACGCUUUGGUAUUUCAAAAGAAGGGAGCAACCACUAUACAAGACACGAGGAAGGAGCAGGUGCCAGAUGUUUCAUUUCGAGAACUAAAAAAAUAAUGCAUUUGGUUAGGCCCCCCCCCCCCCCGCCCCCUAUCUUCCCAAGCGGAAGCGGGGCUGUGGUGCCCAGCAGGGCGGGGAAACGGAGCUGCUGUUCUCCUGGGAGGGCAUCUCCUUCGCGCUGGGAGGCCUCACGCUGGGUUGCUCGAGGUGUCCCCCGACCAGAGCGGCGGGCUUGCAGGCCCCCGGGCAGCGUGCCACUCCUCCUCUUGGACCCUUUGGGACUUCGUGUCACCUCUCGAGCCAUCCGCAAAGUGGGAUAAGGGGGUGGGAAGAUAAUGUCCCGCUGUGGUCUUUGAUGUCCUCGGUAUCCGUAGGUUUGGGGUGGGGGGAACCCUCGGGCCAAUGCGGGCAUAGCUUUGUGGGGUCUUCGGGGCCUCGCUAGCUCCUGGUGACACGUCGUCUUUUUGCCGCCUGGCGGGAGGCCCUUUCCCGCGGCGUGGGGCUUGCUGCCUUCGCGGCGCCCGCGCCCAUCAGCAGUGCUUGCAGUAGGCUGGGCGCCCUGCGCGGGUCUAGGUUUGGGGGGUGGGGGUGGGGUGGCUUUUCCGGAGGAGCGGAGGGCAGCUGCACCCGUGGGCCCUGCUCCCGCUCCCGGGGGGCAUUCCUAAACGUGAGGGCGUUUUUUUUUGUUUUUAAAGAUCUUAUUUAAGAAAGGGAGAGGGAGCGUGAGAAGGGGGAGGGGCAGAGGGAGAAGCAGGCUCCCCGCUGAGCAGGGCCCCGCGAUCAUGACUUGAGCAGAAGGCAGACUCUUAACCGCCUGGGCCACGCAGGCGCCCCUCCGAGGGCAUCUUAUGUGCUGUGCGUGUAUUUCUCCCUACACUUGUCCGGUAAAGGGACCAUAUCCUGACCAAGAUGCCCGGGGAUGGCCUUUGCCUCUAGGCUGCAACAGCCGGGCGGCUUGCCCCUUAGGCCUUCUUGAGAGCAGCAUAUUGGCUCGCAAGCGGGGGUAGACGGGGGGGCUUCCCCAGGACUGCACAGGCCGGGCUGGAGGGAGAGAGUCUUGAGACCCCGAGUCCCCCCUGGCAGAUCCCAGACCAGCUGGGAUCCACUAGGGUUGCGUCUGGGCCUGUCUAGAACUAGCACGCUUCACAGAGUCCCCGCCUUCCCUAUUUUCUGCGCACAGUGCCGGACGUGGCGCAUGCGCUCCGAGCAAAGCCCAGGGCUGCGCGCGGGGCCGAAGCUUUAAAGCGUUCCGCUCGUUCCGCUCGUUCUCACGCAGGGGGAGGCCUGGCUGAGCGAGGUGCCGAGAAAUGGCCAAGUCAGGUCCUCUUACUCUUCGGCGGAGGGAGGUAUUUCCAGGUAGGGGACUUAGGGACGGAGGGGACCGUCUGAGCCAAGCCGCGGAGGAUUUCGGGCAGCUGGAAUCACAGUUUGCCUAUUCAGGAAUUCCAAUCUGCCUUGAUGCAGCCUUAGAGCUAGAGCGAGCAAGAGCAAGUGAGAAAGGAGGAGCACGGGAGGGAGGCGGUGAGGAGAGGAAGAGGCGAAAAUCCGCACACUUUGUCUCAAGUUCCCCGGAGUCUCUUUGAGGACACCUGCCUCCGUACAGAAGGUCAAAACCCCAACUGCCCCCACCAAACCCGGCGUGCCCGCUUUAUCCUGGGCAGCCUGAGGCCUUCCUAGGGGACAUUGGGCCAUACGGUCGCUUAAGAACCUGAGUCCUGCGGGUCCCAGUUUUGACAGGCCCACGUUGAGGGCUGUUGCCCAUCUCUGCCCCUCUCAUUGAAGCUGCCACUUGACCGGGUCCCUGUGCUGUACCCCGGAUGCCAGGCUUGGGGGCCUUGGGGGCGCACGCUCCCGAGCACGCGGCGCUGGGGCGUUCAGGGCCCCGACACUAGGGGACAGCAGUGGGGCUGUGCUGCCGCGGGCCGCGUCCGGCCGCGAAGAGGGAAGGGUACCGCUGAACGCCGGUUCGCUCCCCGCGGAGCCGGUGCCCCCCUGCAGCCCGGAGCCCCGGCCGGCAGCUCGCUUCCGUGCGCGAGCCGCCGCGCGCAGCGUCUCGGAUGGGCGCUGGGGCGGGAGGCCCGGCGGCGCAGCGUUCUCCAGCCCCGUUUCGGGAGCCGCCGUGCGGCGCUGCGCGGAGCCGAGCGAGCCGGGAGACUGCCGCGGGAUUCGGAGCCGGGAGGCCGUCCGCGGUGGGACCGGAGAGCGACGGAAAACGCGCUGAUACGGAGGAGAUCUUAGGACGUGUUCCGACUUGACGACCGGACACGCUUCUCCCAUCCGGGACAGGAGGCCCCUGAGAUGCUUGUCGUUAGAGACGGUCUCUGGAUGGACCACAGGGUCUGCCCAUGUCGAGCGGUCAGCCUGGAGCCCCGGCUGCCCUCCUGUCCACGGAACCGGGGAGGGUGACGUGGCUACGAAAGGGCGAGCGGGGGGUGGGGGGGGCGCAGCAGGCUCUGGGUCCCCAUCCCGCGCUGCCAAUUCCGAGCCGGGAAGCCUUGGGCCCCUCAGUCUUGCCGCGUCGCGGUUGUCUCAUCGAUACGUCCUGUGGCCGCGUCCUCAGCUGGGCCCCCUCCGAGGUGACCCUGCGGAUUGCAGCGUCCUGCGCGGUACCUGGAGCUGAGCUCCCCCCGGCGGCUGCCCGGUCGCGGGAGGUGGGUGCGUUAGUCUGGUUUUAGGGGCAUCUCCAGGACAGGAAGUGAAACUCUGGCGAGGAUGACUGUUAUCCGAGAUAGAAGGUGCUGAGGGUUGUUGACAUGGGAAUUGAUGUGUCUUCUGGGAAAGGGGAUGUGGCGAGGCAGGGGAAAGCAAGAGAAAGGGGAGGAAAGGGUGAAGUAGAUCUGAAGGAGCAACAACGAGCUUUUUCUGUUAAUGGCAGUCAAAGAUCAUGGGCCCCUUGGGGCCUGCUGGAGAGUCCCAAACCAGGGCACGAGCUCAGCCUUGACCUCCCUUUACAGCCCCUGCGACGGGACCUGGGUGCUCAGGACAGCUCUGUCCCCCAGUGAUAGUGACUGCUUGGCCAGGGGUCUUGGGCUCACAGAGUCCUUUGAUCCUCCAAGCCCCCGUGGCAAGAGGCCAUACAGGGAUGGGAGUCCACGCUGCUACCCACGGUAUAUGCAGAACCCCAGGCAUUGUGCUAAGGAAACAACGGUGGCCAAAACAGACACGUGGUCUCUGCCCUCAAGGAGCUUAUCUAGAUUAACCAGUCAAGUGAAAAUAUAAUUAUAAACUGGUGAGUGAACACAGCAUGCUCUCUCCAGCUUUCACGAUUUAUCCUUGCUGUUCCUCUGCUUGGGACACUCGCCCAGUUUUCCAGCUAUAAAGGUUCUGCUUACUCAUCUCAGUGCAACUAUUAUCCCCUUUGUGAAAUGUUUCCCCGACUUUCUCAAACAUCCAGCCCGCAGAAUGAUGAACUCCUUCCUCUACACUCUACACUGUGUCUGUUGUGCAACGAAGACCCUAACUGCGGGGACGUUUGUUUGCGUGUCUUCUUACAGACCAGACCUCAACGGUUUUUUGAGCUCCUGCGAGGGUAGGAGUUUUUUCUUUUUAUCUUAUAUCCUCAGAGCCUCGUACAGGAUGUUCAGUGACGGUUUAUGAAAUAAAUGAAUAGAAGUUUUACUGAGAUCAGAUACGUCACAUUAGGGUAAUGGAGAGAAGGCAACAGUAUAAAAGCACUGGCACCAUGAGGAUGGAGCCUGUUCUGCCACGGAAGCAUUUGCCCCAGGCAACGGUUAAACAUGGGCGGAGGGUUGAGCCCCACUGUCAACUGCGAGAAGACUGAAUCAUGAAAUUUUAUUACCUACAGAGGCUUAAAUUCUCUCACUUGAUCUUAAGUCAAUAAUACCAAGAGCAGUAGACAGAAGAGACUAUAUGUUUACUGUCCAGCUGAAUUGGACUAAAGCCCCUCUGUGCGGAGACUCCAUUUCAAAGCCAAACUAAUGAGAUGAUGUAUGUGUAUAUGGAUUUACAACCUAAAUUAUACAAAUUUUAGCUAUCAUUAUUACAUAAGUGUUCAAUACACAUUUGCAAAAUAAGUAAACAAAAACAAGAUUUGGAUAGACCUUCAUAUAUCACUAAGGAGUCUAAACACCGUGGAAGAAUCGCUGAUCAAUAAAAAGGCUACCUAACGAAUGUUAGUAUAAAAGAGAUGACACUCUUUUUAUUGUGUGAUAUACUUUCAUGAGAGAAUAAAACAUGAAGCUGCUAUCAGCUUAAGUAGACUACCAUGAAUGGGAAUCUUUAAUAUGACUGACUAAUUCAACAAACCUAUUCCUGUCACGUCGGAAGCAUGAGGAAGGAGGUCAGACUAUUUCUUUCAAAGUGUGUAGGGUUCUUACCCAAAUUCCUUUUGUCACACUAUGAAUGAAGAUGGGGAAAUGCAGGGUUAACAAGAAUUGUCUUAGCCUUUCAAUCAGGGAGUUUAGGGUAGACAUUAGGAUUCUGCAGAGUCCAGGGGCGCCUGGGUGGCUCAGUCAUUAAGCAUCUGCCUUCGGCUCAAGUCAUGGUCUCAGGGGUCCUGGGAUCGAGCCUCGCAUCGGGCUCCCUGCUCGGCCGGCAGCCUGCUUCUCCCUCUCCCACUCCCCCUAUUUGUGUUCCCUCUCUAUCUCUCUGUCAAAUAAAUAAAAUCUUUAAAAAAAAAAAAGGAUUCUGCAGAGUCCAAAGCAAGCCAUAAGGAGACAAGUGACGGCCAAGAGUGUCUAAUACAGGUCAGUGAAUAAUGGACAGUGGCUUCCAGAAUGAGGAAGAGGGCAGAAUAAUUGUUCUUUUCUCAAACCCAUCUCAACCACCUGCUGCACAGUCCUCCCUCUCAGAAUGGAAACCCAGUUUCUAAGAAUAAGUUAAAUGCAAUCUUUUGUUCAUGAAGUGCUACACCUCUGAGGCAGGAGAACUACAAAGCAGCUCAAUGCUGACACCAAUCUCUGGUUGGCAGUUACAGACCGAGGAGGUCUGAGAAACACUCUUCUUUUAAAUGAAAACUGAAAAUAAGAGUCGCUUCUACAUCAGAAGACCCACCUUGAAAAAGCCAUAGGCCCUAACUAACCAGUGGGUUACUUACAACCAGGCACAGUUAGCAAAAAAAGGGAAAACUCCACAUGUAGCCAUGCCCCUUCAUCUUCCCCCUUUAGAAACAGCCCCCACCCUCAGCCUCGUGGCAGACAGCCUGUCCUCUGCUGUCCUGAGCCACUCCUGGGCGGUGGAUUCGAUAAACUUCUAGCUCCUUUGUUCUGCUUCAGGUGGAUCCUUUCACUGCCCGUGCCACCGGCUUCCACCCAAUCUGCUUCGUCCCACCUUUGGGGGCCCCCAUCCCAUCGACAGACACACCACAUUUAGACACCAUAGUCUUUAGUGAAGUAUUCAUGAGAAUGACUUUGGUUGCUUUUUGGAAAAUGCAAAAGCUCAAGCCCUAUUUAGAUAAAAUGAGUGAAAAUCUUCAGGGGGUAGGACCCAAGUAUUUGCAGCUGAAAAAAGCCCGACAGGGGAUCUGUAGUGCAGCCUUCAUUAAAAAUCACAGCUCCACCAGGAAGGCGCCGCCCUGAAUCUAUUCCCUGGACUUCCCAGGAAGCCUUAUGGAGUAAUGGAGGGGCUGGACUAUUCCGUGGAUAGCCUGCGCCUGCAGGAUCACAGUCCAUUACUAACUCUCCUCGACAGUGCAUACAUGAUCAUACUUGGAAUACUGGAGACCAGGAGAGAAGGAGAGGACAGCGGUGGAUAACUGACUCAUCAAAUAACUGGAUAUCUUAAAGAUAAAAGCAACUCUCGGGUACAUUUUCUCUCCAGCCUUUUACAUAAGAGAAGCAAGAGGGUGAGUUAAGUUGACUAAACCAAUUAGAAAUUAUGUCUUUUUGGUUGAUGGCAAAAAGAACUGGAAGAAAGGGCAUCUUCAUGCUAUAAAACUUACCUUAUCUAAUGCUAAAACCGAAGGAGGAGGGGAGUGGCCAUGAGCUAACAGAUGUGGCAUAAACGAGAGAGGAAUGGUUUUCGGUAGAAAAACUCGGGAAGAGCCAUUUGCCAGAUAAACUCUUUACAAGAACAAGUGAGUUUUAGGAAUCCUAAUCAGCAAAUGUUUUUCUUGUUCUAGAAAAUUCUGCCUCCCCUCAAAUCUGAAAUCUAAAUGGAUGAAUUUUAAGGGUUACUCACUGUUACUGAAGAAAAUGGAUCAAAAGUGUUACAGUGAUUAAUAAUACGGGAACCCAAAAGCUACUGCAAAAAUAUUUUGUUGGACUACUAAUCUUUUCUGUUUACAUUCCAUUUGAAAUUUCCAUUCUUUCCUGGUAGUAGUUAAUAUUAACAAUUUGAAUAUUUUCUCCCCACCUCCUAUGGGCUUCUUUCAAUUCUUUAGGUGGUCCACACUCUCCCCUCCAGGACUUUGAAAAUUGCUACCUACCCUUUACUUUGCCUGGUACACUUUCUCUCCAUUCCUCCCUCUCUCUGAGGAAGUGAUAUUUAAUCCACGGCUGACAGAGACCUGAAGGAUAAGUAGAAGGUAUCCUAACAAAGAGUGAGGAUGGGAGGGGGUAGCAUGGUGAUAAAGAUCCUGAGGUAGAGAAGACUUUGAUGUGUCCCCCAAGUCAAAGAGGGUCAGAAUGGACAGAGUGGACAGAGAAGGAGAGAAUGCUGGGAAUGAGCCUGAAAAGCAGUUUGAGCUGAGAUCACCCAGCGGACUGCAUGUCAUAUUCACAAUCUAAAUGUAUUCCUGCAAGUGAACUUUCCAAGGUCAAAGGGAAAUAGGGGCUUGGAAGCCAGUUUCACAUUCAGGCUUUAUCAUUUAUCAGUUGUGUGACCUGGGGCAAGUUAUUACCAAUAACCAAAGUUGUAAAGGUUUGGAGCUAAUUAGGAAAAAUUUGUGAAAUGACAGGUAUGGUCCCUGAUACAUUAUAGGUACUCUAGAAAUGGUGGUGGUUGUUAUUAUUAAAUAAUAGAUAAUAUCCAACAUAUGAAGAAAUUUAUGAAAUCAGUGAAAAACAACAAAUACUCUUUUGUUUGAUAAAUGUAUUUUGUUUAUAAUGGAUACUGGAUCUUUUCUAUUAUUACAAACAGAUUAUUCACUUCCUUCUUGAAUAUCAGUUAUAAUAUUUACAUUUUGUGUUUCUUUGGCACCGAACCUCACAGUGUAUCAGUGAAAACAAAACAAAAAAAUAUUAAAAAAACUUACUGAGGUUAUGUGUUUCAA